UGGAGCCACCAUUGAGAUCGAGGCUUCUACCCUUACUUUACCGACCGAUGUUGCCACUGAGACACCGACUCUGAUCAUUGAACUACAGGAGUCCCCUGAGGCCACCACUCGAGGUUAAGACCCCAACUGACAAUCGAUCCCAGGAGGAGGAGGUUUACACUCCCCAACGACCAUCGGUCUCAAGUUUGCAAAGAGUGACUCAGAGUGAGAGUCGAACAUUAAGGCCCGAGGACAAGACCUCGAAGAAAAGCAAGUCCGUGCCUAAGCCUGGGACUUCCAAGAUAUUAGCGACCGAGUUCUGAGUCUCGAAGAAGUUGACAUCCGAGACCGGGACCUCAAGGAAACAAAAGUCCAUCCAUCCUCUACAUGGAGGCAUCCUAGCAUCACAACCUCUAAGGAGUUGUUCUCUAGAUACAAGUGUUAGGGGAAAGGCUGUGGCACCCAGGGCUCAAUGAUUCUGGUUGCUAGCGAUUAAACCACUGCCCCCAUGCUUGAGCAGGCGCAAUCAACUUCUAGUAGCAUGUCUAGACGUUGUGCUUCUCCACUUUAUGCACAACUGCGGUAGAGUUUCGACCCUUCCUUGCUACGUCAAGGUCCUCAUGUUGAGGAGCGAUCAAAGGGAUCAAACCCUUCCUUGGCUAAGCGACUCCACACUUACGAGAUGGAAGUCAUGCCGGGGCUAGGGUUCUUUGAUAUAUCCGAGAAUAUGAUCAGUGUUGCCUUGAAGAGGCGAAGAGCUUGCACGGACGCCUUCUUCAUUUGGUGAAGCAUCACCAUAUCAUAGGAAGCGAAUAGCGAAGCUGGAGAGCCAAUAGACGCAAACAACCCCUUCCAAGAGCGAGGUUGCAGAGGCUCUAUCUUUUGCUAAUAUAGCCAAGGUAGAGAAGGUAAUGGCUCAAAUGGUGAGGUACAAAGCAGAAGCAGAAAUUAGGAAGUGAUAGAAGAGGGCCAAGACCUAUUUUGACGACUUCAUGAACUAGAACAUGAGUUGACCUAGGUCAAGCUGCCACACAAGCCUUAGAGAAGCUGACCAAGAAAAUGCAGACCACGGAGUAGUCGACCAAACAUGCUUAGGAAGAACUGCUUUAUGCCCAACGGGAAUUAGUCAUGCAAGAGGGGAAAUGGAUGCAUCAAAGACUUAGUUACGUUGUUGUAGGUCCAAUUGUACCUUCGUGAUGAGAUCUUAGCCAAGGAUAGGUUGGGGUAUCAAUUAUCUGAGGCCAAGGAGAAAAAGGCGAAGACGGCCUAUGAGCUGAAGGUUGCCUAGAUUGAAUUGGAGGUCGUUAAGAUUGAACUGGAGGCCGCCAAAAUAGAGUUGGCUGACUAUUGGGCAAGAGAAGAGAGUCGCUAGGAGAAUCAGAAGAAAGCCUUUCUAGUCUCCUAGGAUUUUAUGGACUGCUCGCACAAAGAAGUAACAAUAUGCUUAAGCACAACUUUGAGGGCACCAUUCCCCAGUUCAUCAGGUCCAAACUGAUCACAAGGGAGAGCGAUAUGUCCUUCUUGGAUCUGAAUAAAGUUUGGGAGGAGCUACCCGACACUAAGAAGGCCAACUGAUCAUACUUCUUGCCUCUACUGUCUAUUUAUUUCUGCACUUAUUCUUGGGAUAUUUUUUAUUCUGCCUAGGAUUUGAAAAGAUGUAAAGACUUGCAGGAGUUAAUGAAAACCACUUUUUGCAAAUCUAUCAUCUUGAAUGCCUGCUUUUGAUC